GCACAAGCGGUGGAGCAUGUGGUUUAAUUCGAAGCAACGCGAAGAACCUUACCAGGUCUUGACAUCCCCUGACAACCCGAGAGAUCGGGCGUUCCCCUUCGGGGGACAGGGUGACAGGUGGUGCAUGGUUGUCGUCAGCUCGUGUCGUGAGAUGUUGGGUUAAAGUCCCGCAACGAGCGCAACCCUCGACCUUAGUUGCCAGCAUUCAGUUGGGCACUCUAGCGAGACUGCCGGUAAUAAACCGGAGGAAGGUGGGAUGACGUCAAAUCAUCAUGCCCCUUAUGACCUGGGCUACACACGUGCUACAAUGGUUGGUACAACGAGUUGCGAGUCGGUGACGGCGAGCUAAUCUCUUAAAGCCAAUCUCAGUUCGGAUUGUAGGCUGCAACUCGCCUACAUGAAGUCGGAAUCGCUAGUAAUCGCGGAUCAGCACGCCGCGGUGAAUACGUUCCCGGGCCUU
rnacentral:rRNA from 1 species